rnacentral:rRNA from 1 species
UACGAAGGGGGCUAGCGUUGCUCGGAAUCACUGGGCGUAAAGCGCACGUAGGCGGAUUGCUAAGUCAGGGGUGAAAUCCUGGAGCUCAACUCCAGAACUGCCUUUGAUACUGGCGAUCUUGAGUCCGGGAGAGGUGAGUGGAACUGCGAGUGUAGAGGUGAAAUUCGUAGAUAUUCGCAAGAACACCAGUGGCGAAGGCGACACGCUGGGCCGUACCUGACGCUGAUACGCGACAGCAUGGGGAGCGAACGGG